rnacentral:rRNA from 1 species
AUUGAACGCUGGCGGCAUGCCUUACACAUGCAAGUCGAACGGUAACAGGUCUUCGGAUGCUGACGAGUGGCGAACGGGUGAGUAAUACAUCGGAACGUGCCCGAUCGUGGGGGAUAACGGAGCGAAAGCUUUGCUAAUACCGCAUACGAUCUACGGAUGAAAGCAGGGGACCGCAAGGCCUUGCGCGGACGGAGCGGCCGAUGGCAGAUUAGGUAGUUGGUGGGAUAAAAGCUUACCAAGCCGACGAUCUGGAGCUGGUCUGAGAGGACGACCAGCCACCCGGGGAAUGAGACACGGCCCGGACGCCUACGGGAGGAAGCAGUGGGGAAUUUUGGACAAUGGGCGAAAGCCUGAUCCAGCCAUGCCGCGUGCAGGAUGAAGGCCUUCGGGUUGUAAACUGCUUUUGUACGGAACGAAAAGACUCUUUCUAAUAAAGAGGGUCCAUGACGGUACCGUAAGAAUAAGCACCGGCUAACUACGUGCCAGCAGCCGCAGUAA